rnacentral:tRNA from 1 species
UGUUCAAGUCCCUCUAUCCCCAA